rnacentral:rRNA from 1 species
UGGGGAAUAUUGCACAAUGGGGGAAACCCUGAUGCAGCGACGCCGCGUGAAGGAAGAAGUAUCUCGGUAUGUAAACUUCUAUCAGCAGGGAAGAUAAUGACGGUACCUGGCUAAGAAGCCCCGGCUAACUACGUGCCAGCAGCCGCGGUAAUACGUAGGGGGCAAGCGUUAUCCGGAUUUACUGGGUGUAAAGGGAGCGUAGACGGCAAAGCAAGUCUGAAGUGAAAGCCCCGGGCUCAACCCGGGAACUGCUUUGGAAACUGUUUAGCUAGAGUGCAGGAGAGGUAAGUGGAAUUCCUAGUGUAGCGGUGAAAUGCGUAGAUAUUAGGAGGAACACCAGUGGCGAAGGCGGCUUACUGGACUGUAACUGACGUUGAGGCUCGAAAGCGUGGG